UGUGUACUCCCUCCGUUCCAAAAUACUUGACUUCGAUUUGUCCAAAAAUGGAUGUACCUAUAUACUAAAACAUGUCUAGAUACAUAUAUAUUUUGACAAAUAGAAGGCAUGUAUUGUGCAACGGAGGGAGUAUAAU
rnacentral:pre_miRNA from 1 species